CUUAUGUACCAGUUAAAUCUAUCAGCCAACAGAUGUCAAGUGUAGCAAAAAUGCUAUAAUAAUAUUAUGGUCUAAUAAUAGUUAUAAUGAUUCUAAUUACCUGGUGCAGCUUUAAAGAGAGGCAGAUUCAGAGAUGAGUGCAAAGGAGGUGUUUAACCUUGAACUGCAGAAGCAGGGUACUUCCAGAGGUGCCUGUGCUGCCUGUGCCUCCUCCCUGUCGGACAUCCUCCUCCCUUUAUUUCCUCCAGCAGACUGGGAGCAGCACUCUGGUGUGUUUUUAAUGUUCAGACCUCAUUCUGGCUGUGUUCAGAGUGCUGUCAAGCUGAGGAUGAGCACGUUUCCUGCAAUACCUGGGAGCAUGAAGCCUGCUCAUUUUCAGCCUCUGUCUGCCCUGCUCUUGGCAUGCUCCCACUGCCUGAUGGUUGCUCCCACUUUGGGAAGGUGCGGAGCCUCAGCAAUCUCCGUCUUCUAUGCAGGCUGCUUGUGCUGCUCUUAAGUGAUAGGGGAGGUUUUGCCACAGCCUGGGAAGCACAAAGCCACAAUCUCCUGAAGGGAGAGCGUUUGGGGGUGUGCAGGCUGGUGGCAAUGUCUCCUUGGGCCGGGCUCCUCUCCACCACUGCCAGAGUCAGCCUGCUGCUGCUGCUGGGGUCUGUGCUCUUCUCCUGCUCCAGCCUGGGCCACAGAGUGCCUGAGUUUGCCCUUACAAAAAUAGAAGAGAGCGACAUGAAAGAUGACAGUGGGAAGGAGCCGGGGACAGAGGAUGACGCUGAUCCCGAAGACCUGGAAGUGUUUUACCCCACGGAUCAGUGGCAAACCCUGCGUCCAGGUAACUGCUGCUGGCUAAUUAUAGCAUGCCUCUGGAGGCCACCUGCCAGCUCUGACAGGAGCCUUGCAGACGCUCCAAGAGCUGCUUGUUCCCAUGACAAUGUGUGCUUUUGCUGGUGUUCACAUAAAGAGAAGGACGUGGUGACCCAGUGCAGGGACUGGAGGCCGUGGGCAAAGCAUCCAAGGAGGUCACUGGAGCAGGAGGAGUGGGCUGCCAGCCCCCUUGUGGGGUGGGGCUGCCUCUGUCCCUGGCUCCGCAGCUGUUGGAAUCUGAGGUAUUGAUGAUCCUGAGAUUGUAGAAAGUCUCUGUCUGUCAGCCCCCUGCCAAAGCAGAAGCCAUAAUUGGUCUGUGCUGGUUCCAAGGUUGUUUAUUCUGUUUAUCUCUCACAUGUUCUGCUGCCCUGCCCAGCUCUGUCCUGCAGGGCAGCGUGUGGGGCUCUGCCCUCAGUGGGAUGUUACAAACAUUAAAUACCAGAAACUCCCUGGGCUGGAUUUACAAGAACGUGCUAAUAUCUGUCACCUACGUUGGACAGUGUGUCCCCAGCCUGAACCAACAGAAAAAUGCCAACACCACAGUGAAACAUGGAGGGCAUGGAGAAGGAGAAAAAGGACAAGGCACAUCCAAUUUCCUCCAUCUUGUCCCCUUUGGACCCCCAAUCUAGAAUCCUAAAAUUUUACUUUUGCACCCGUGCCAC
rnacentral:lncRNA from 1 species